AACGAACGCUGGCGGCGUGCCUAACACAUGCAAGUCGCACGAGAAAGGUCCUUCGGGGCUGAGUAAAGUGGCGGACGGGUGGGUAAUGCAUGGAUAACCUGCCUUCGAGUGGGGGAUAACCUCGGGAAACCGGGGCUAAUACCGCAUGAAGAGGCACGGACUACGGUCUGUACCUUGAAAGCUGGCCUCUACCUGUAAGCUGGCGCUCGAAGAGGGGUCCAUGUCCCAUUAGCUUGUUGGUGAGGUAACGGCUCACCAAGGCUCCGAUGGGUAGCCGACCUGAGAGGGUGAUCGGCCACACUGGGACUGAGACACGGCCCAG
rnacentral:rRNA from 1 species